CCACGGGUGGCUGCAGUGAGGAAUAUUGGUCAAUGGGCGCGAGCCUGAACCAGCCAAAUAGCGUGAAGUAUAACUGCCCUACGGGUUGUAAACUUCUUUUAUCAAGGAAUAAAGUUAGGCCCGUUUGCCUUUUUGUAUUUACUUUAUGAAUAAGGAUCGGCUAACUCCGUGCCAGCAGCCGCGGUAAUACGGAGGAUCCGAGCGUUAUCCGGAUUUCUUGGGUUUAAAGGGAGCGUAGAUGGGUUGUUAAGUCAGUUGUGAAAGUUUGCGGCUCAACCGUAAAAUUGCAAUUGAUACUGGCAGUCUUGAGUACAGUUGAGGUAGGCGGAAUUCGUGGUGUAGCGGUGAAAUGCUUAGAUAUCACGAAGAACUACGAUUGCGAAGGCAGCUUACUAAACUGCCACUGACAUUGAUGCUCGAAAGUGUGGGUAUCAAACAGGAUUAGAUACCCGGGUAGUC
rnacentral:rRNA from 1 species